GCCUCGCCUCCACGCCUCUGGCCACCGCCGCCGAGGUCGCCUCGCCGCGUCAGGGCCCGGGUCGUCGCCGUCGCCGUCGCCCGACCAGUACCCGUCCGAGCCCGACGAUGGCCUUGUGGAGCUCCCUCUGUUUCCUCUCCCGCUCGUGCUCUUCCCGGACGCGACCCACGCGCUGCACAUCUUCGAGUUCCGCUACCGUAUCAUGAUGCACACCGUGCUCGACACCGACCUCCGCUUCGGCGUCGUCUUCGCCGGCUCCGACGGCGCCUCCGACGUCGGCUGCGUCGGGGAGGUCGUCAAGCACGAGCGCCUCGCUGACGACCGCUUCUUCCUCAUCUGCAAGGGCCAGGAGCGGUUCCGCGUCGCCCGCAUCGUCCGCAACAAGCCUUACCUCGUCGCCGCCGUGCAGUGGCUCGAGGACCGCCCGCCCGCGGAGACGCCGGCCCCUGGGGAGGACGCCGAGGCGCUCGCCGUCGAGGUCGAGGCGCUCAUGCGCGACGUCAUACGCAUCGCCAACCGCCUCAACGGCAAGCCCGAGAAGGAGGUCGGGGACCUGCGCCGGGGGCUCUUCCCCACCCCAUUCUCCUUCUACGUGGGCAACACCUUCGAGGGCGCGCCCAGGGAGCAGCAGGCGCUGCUCGAGCUUGAGGACACCGCCGCGCGGCUGAGACGGGAGCGGGACACGCUCCGCAACACUCUCAACUACCUUACCGCCGCGUCUGCCGUCAAGGACGUCUUCCCCUCGUCGCCGUCGUCGGGGUGAAGCCUUUCGCCUCUGCCCCAUCUCGCUCGCCGAUAAGGAGUUUGUGGAGGGUAGUGGACUAAACCUUCUUAUUGCUCUUUUUCGCCUUUUUCCUUUCCUUGUAAUUGCAAGGGUAGGCUUUAUUUCAAUGUGGUAGCAUUUUAGCGUGUAAAAGUGUACGUAUAAUUCAGGUGUAUUAACUCAAAAGGAAAAUGCGGAGCUAUGACGAUGAUCAAUGGUAAUGAUAAGCAUUUUGCUCCAUGAAAGCAAUGCAUGCGUAUUUACUCAUUAGUCAGCUCUUGAGUGUAGACUGCCACUUCUCAAUUGGAAUUACGUUGUCUGACAUGAUUGGCUUACCAUAUACAGUAAUUUUAGUUUCAGUUUUCCAAUGAAAAAAGGUACUCCCUCUGAUCCAUAUUAAUUGACACACUUUGCAAAGUUCUACUAAGUGUGCGUCAAAGUGUGUUGUACGAAUACUUUAGCAGGUUUAUUCAUCAUCAGCUGUGUCUGUGUGACCAUACAUAUAUACAUCCAUCUGUUUAGCACUCUCUUCGUUCCAUAAUCUCUACUAUCUAAAAAGAACCGUAAGGUUCCGUUUCCCCUCUUACGUCGUUCGUUUCGUCGAUCCAUUCUCACUUGUUUCGGCCACCUCCACUUGCCACCGAUUUAGUUUUCCAUGUCCCGAUUUUUCCGCCUGCCUCCCUCUCGCCUAACGCACGCACCCUCCUAGUGCUAUCCCCGCGAUCUAGGGCGACGGCAUCGGCGCCCCCGUCCCCUCUCUCUCUCUUUCCCAUCUCGCGUUUCUGUCUCCAAUCUCCCGCCGAACGUCGGACGUAUGUGCUUGCGCCUCCCCAUCACGCGCCGGCGACCACUCGCCAGCGACGACCCGAGGUCACCGACGCGGGGACCCAAGGAUUCGUUGCCGCCGUUCAGAACUACUUCGUCGACGGCGUCAAUGGGGGCUUUGGCCAGAGCUCCUGGCCUUCCGCCGCCGCCGCCGGGUUCGUCCCCCAGGCAUACAUACUGCCGAUCAGGACGCCGUCGGAUCCUCUGUCGCCGGUCCUCUCCUUCCUCUCACAGUUCAUGUAGCCCCUACUUCCUCCCCUGAUUGUCCAGGUUAGUUCCUGAUUUCGAAUUGGUUGUGUAGUUGUGCUGCAGGCACUUCACGGAUGAGAUUUUCUCAUCCUGUUCUCGCCUCCUCAUGUGGUGCCACCUCCUCACGUCGUGCAGCCUCCACACGCGAAGCCACCGAGUCAGGAAUCGGAAGUGCCAGUCUGUGCAUCGUGUUCUCACGCGAAGCCCUAGGUCGUCUUGCUAUCCUGUUGCAAGAAUUCCUACGCACAAUAUUAGUGUUCAUAUCAGUCUGACAUAUUCAUGUGUAUCUUUUCAGUAUCCAAAAUUAAAGAAUUCAAGUGAUACAUAUAUUGUUUGGAAUUUCGCUGCUAUGCCAUGAUCGGUUCAAUUUAUCCAUCAUUUAAUGUUUUCAUUUUUCUGUUGUACAGUAGUUCCUUCUAUGGAAUUGUACUAACAAGAUUAUAUGCAGCUUUGUUAAUGUCCAGAAGCAAGUUGAGGAAUGAUUGUUCAUUUUACUUGAGAAGAACUAUUUCACAUGUUCAAGAACAACUGCAGGAGUAUACUUUCAUAAGCCUUUGUACUGAAUGCAUGCAUACUCAUCGAUUAAUGUUAGAUAUGUAGUAUACAGUGAAGUAUAAAUUUACAUCGCCACACCAGCCAGCAGGAGCGGCAUCAACAGCAGGGUGUCGUAGAUUGACCUGGAGGUUGUCCCGAGGGGCAUGACACUGCCAGUGAAGAUGUAGCAGGUGAAGGAGGAGGACGUGGAGACGAAGGUGGCGGUGUGUUAGAUGGCAGAGGUGGACAAGAUGAACAAUUGGUUCGAGAGGAGGUGGUUGUCGCAACGGAUUAACAAGAUUGCGGUGGCUCAAGAAGAGCAAAUACAUCUCUUCUGUUUAUUUUCACAGUUUCAUCUAGAAAUCGUCCGCCAAAGUGUCGUGUGCAUAGUGUUUCCAGUCAGCUUUUAUAAGACGUUAUAGGUCACAACUUAUAAAUGCUUACAGAGAGAGUAUGUUCUAUGCCUACAUCGAAUUGUACGCAAUGAUAACCCUUUCGUAAGAAGAACCCUUUCUGGUGUUUAUACCUUCAGUGUGAGUUAUAACAUGUUGUACCAUGCC
rnacentral:rRNA from 1 species